UGAUGAAUGUCUGCGAAAGUAUGGGA
rnacentral:piRNA from 1 species